rnacentral:lncRNA from 1 species
ACUUCUCUUCCUAGCUAACCCCCUCCCCUUCCUCUGGACCUCAGGCUCAUUUGAAAGGCAGUGCUCAACAGUGGAGAGCCAGUGCCUGGUCUUGUCAUCAUCCUCCUCCGUUUGCUGAGCCCUUUGCUGCUGGGCCCAGGCAGAGCCUCAGUGCCCCACCAGACGCACUGCGCCCAGGGCCUCUCUCACAGAUGAGAAACAGCAGUGUUUUGUAGAGGUGGAAGGAACACUGAAAUUACUAAAGGUUUCACCAGCUAACACCCACCAGGACUGCAGUAUGCUUAUGUUAGCACAGAAAAUGAUUUUCACCAGAUCAUCAGUUUGCAAAAUAUUGUUAAAGGAACUGCUAACAGGCAGUUGUGGUGUCACAGAGAAGACCCUGGAUCUGGAAUCUCAUUUCAUUCCGACACAUAUUUAUUGAAGGCCUGCUGCUGGCUCGGCCUCUCUUUCGCCCCGGGGAUGCAUCAGUGAGUGAAGCAGACAGAUUUCCGUCCUUGUGGAGAUUUCCUUCUGGUAGAGUUAGGGAGACAAAAUUAAUAAUAAACAAAAUGAAUGAGCAAAUUGUGUAGUAUAU